CGCGGUGUGGCGCAGAUGGUAGCGCGGUAGCCUCAUACACUACAGGUCAGUGGUUCGAGUCCACUCACCGCAACAA
rnacentral:tRNA from 1 species